GAUGAACGCUGGCGGCGUGCCUAAUACAUGCAAGUCGAGCGAACAGACGAGGAGCUUGCUCCUCUGACGUUAGCGGCGGACGGGUGAGUAACACGUGGAUAACCUACCUAUAAGACUGGGAUAACUUCGGGAAACCGGAGCUAAUACCGGAUAAUAUAUUGAACCGCAUGGUUCAAUAGUGAAAGACGGUUUUGCUGUCACUUAUAGAUGGAUCCGCGCCGCAUUAGCUAGUUGGUAAGGUAACGGCUUACCAAGGCAACGAUGCGUAGCCGACCUGAGAGGGGGAGGGCCCCCAGGGGAACAGAGACGCGGCCCAGCCUCCUACGGGGGGCAAAAGUGGGGAAUCUUCCGCAAGGGGGAAAGGCCGGAGGGAACACCGCGGCGUGAGUGAUAAGGUUCUUCGGAUCGUAAACCUCUGUGAUGGGGGAAAAAAAAAUGUGUAAGUAACUAUGCACGUCUGGAGGUUCCCUAAUAAGAAAGCCACGGCAAGCUAGGUG
rnacentral:rRNA from 1 species